GACGAUCACUGGUGGACCAGUUGUCGUGCCAACGGCAGUGCUGGGUAGCUAUGAUCGGACAGGAUAACCGCUGAAGGCAUCUAAGCGGGAAGCCCCCCUCAAAACAAGGUAUCCCUGAGGACCGUGGAAGACCACCACGUCGAUAGGCCGGAGAUGUAAGCAUGGUAACAUGUUCAGUUGACCGGUACUAAUGGUCCGAUAGGCUUGAU
rnacentral:rRNA from 1 species